AUUGAACGCUGGCGGCAUGCUUUACACAUGCAAGUCGAACGGUAACAGCACUUCGGUGGCUGACGAGUGGCGAACGGGUGAGUAAUACAUCGGAACGUGCCUAGUAGUGGGGGAUAACUACUCGAAAGAGUAGCUAAUACCGCAUGAGAUCUAAGGAUGAAAGCAGGUGACCUUCGGGCCUUGCGCUACUAGAGCGGCUGAUGGCAGAUUAGGUAGUUGGUGGGAUAAAAGCUUACCAAGCCGACGAUCUGUAGCUGGUCUGAGAGGACGACCAGCCACACUGGGACUGAGACACGGCCCAGACUCCUACGGGAGGCAGCAGUGGGGAAUUUUGGACAAUGGGCGCAAGCCUGAUCCAGCAAUGCCGCGUGCAGGAUGAAGGCCUUCGUGUUGUAAACUGCUUUUGUACGGAACGAAAAGCCCUCUUCUAAUACAGGAGGGUCAUGACGGUACCGUAAGAAUAAGCACCGGCUAACUACGUG
rnacentral:rRNA from 1 species